rnacentral:rRNA from 1 species
CCGGCGAUGUCCGAAUGGGGAAACCCAGUGUGAUUCGUCACACUAUCGUUAACUGAAUACAUAGGUUAACGAGGCGAACCGGGGGAACUGAAACAUCUAAGUACCCCGAGGAAAAGAAAUCAACCGAGAUUCCCCCAGUAGCGGCGAGCGAACGGGGAGCAGCCCAGAGUCUGAAUCAGCUUGUGUGUUAGUGGAACGGUCUGGAAAGUCCGACGGUACAGGGUGAUAGUCCCGUACACCAAAAUGCACAGGUUGUGAACUCGAAGAGUAGGGCGGGACACGUGGUAUCCUGUCUGAAUAUGGGGGGACCAUCCUCCAAGGCUAAAUACUCCUGACUGACCGAUAGUGAACCAGUACCGUGAGGGAAAGGCGAAAAGAACCCCGGCGAGGGGAGUGAAAAAGAACCUGAAACCGUGUACGUACAAGCAGUGGGAGCACCUUCGGGUGUGACUGCGUACCUUUUGUAUAAUGGGUCAGCGACUUAUAUUCUGUAGCAAGGUUAACCGUAUAGGGGAGCCGCAGGGAAACCGAGUCUUAACUGGGCGUUAAGUUGCAGGGUAUAGACCCGAAACCCGGUGAUCUAGCCAUGGGCAGGUUGAAGGUUGGGUAACACUAACUGGAGGACCGAACCGACUAAUGUUGAAAAAUUAGCGGAUGACUUGUGGCUGGGGGUGAAAGGCCAAUCAAACCGGGAGAUAGCUGGUUCUCCCCGAAAGCUAUUUAGGUAGCGCCUCGUGAAUUCAUCUUCGGGGGUAGAGCACUGUUUCGGCUAGGGGGUCAUCCCGACUUACCAACCCGAUGCAAACUACGAAUACCGAAGAAUGUUAUCACGGGAGACACACGGCGGGUGCUAACGUCCGUCGUGAAGAGGGAAACAACCCAGACCGCCAGCUAAGGUCCCAAAGUCAUGGUUAAGUGGGAAACGAUGUGGGAAGGCACAGACAGCCAGGAUGUUGGCUUAGAAGCAGCCAUCAUUUAAAGAAAGCGUAAUAGCUCACUGGUCGAGUCGGCCUGCGCGGAAGAUGUAACGGGGCUAAACCAUGCACCGAAGCUGCGGCAGCGACACUAUGUGUUGUUGGGUAGGGGAGCGUUCUGUAAGCCUGCGAAGGUGUGCUGUGAGGCAUGCUGGAGGUAUCAGAAGUGCGAAUGCUGACAUAAGUAACGAUAAAGCGGGUGAAAAGCCCGCUCGCCGGAAGACCAAGGGUUCCUGUCCAACGUUAAUCGGGGCAGGGUGAGUCGACCCCUAAGGCGAGGCCGAAAGGCGUAGUCGAUGGGAAACAGGUUAAUAUUCCUGUACUUGGUGUUACUGCGAAGGGGGGACGGAGAAGGCUAUGUUAGCCGGGCGACGGUUGUCCCGGUUUAAGCAUGUAGGCUGGUUGUCCAGGCAAAUCCGGAUAAUCAAGGCUGAGGUGUGAUGACGAGGCACUACGGUGCUGAAGUAACAAAUGCCCUGCUUCCAGGAAAAGCCUCUAAGCAUCAGGUAACAUUAAAUCGUACCCCAAACCGACACAGGUGGUCAGGUAGAGAAUACCAAGGCGCUUGAGAGAACUCGGGUGAAGGAACUAGGCAAAAUGGUGCCGUAACUUCGGGAGAAGGCACGCUGGUGUGUAGGUGAAGUCCCUGCGGAUGGAGCUGAGACCAGUCGAAGAUACCAGCUGGCUGCAACUGUUUAUUAAAAACACAGCACUGUGCAAACACGAAAGUGGACGUAUACGGUGUGACGCCUGCCCGGUGCCGGAAGGUUAAUUGAUGGGGUUAUCCGUAAGGAGAAGCUCUUGAUCGAAGCCCCGGUAAACGGCGGCCGUAACUAUAACGGUCCUAAGGUAGCGAAAUUCCUUGUCGGGUAAGUUCCGACCUGCACGAAUGGCGUAAUGAUGGCCAGGCUGUCUCCACCCGAGACUCAGUGAAAUUGAACUCGCUGUGAAGAUGCAGUGUACCCGCGGCAAGACGGAAAGACCCCGUGAACCUUUACUAUAGCUUGACACUGAACAUUGAGCCUUGAUGUGUAGGAUAGGUGGGAGGCUUUGAAGCGUGGACGCCAGUCUGCGUGGAGCCAACCUUGAAAUACCACCCUUUAAUGUUUGAUGUUCUAACGUUGGCCCCUGACCGGGGUUGCGGACAGUGUCUGGUGGGUAGUUUGACUGGGGCGGUCUCCUCCCAAAGCGUAACGGAGGAGCACGAAGGUUAGCUAAUCCUGGUCGGACAUCAGGAGGUUAGUGCAAUGGCAUAAGCUAGCUUGACUGCGAGCGUGACGGCGCGAGCAGGUGCGAAAGCAGGUCAUAGUGAUCCGGUGGUUCUGAAUGGAAGGGCCAUCGCUCAACGGAUAAAAGGUACUCCGGGGAUAACAGGCUGAUACCGCCCAAGAGUUCAUAUCGACGGCGGUGUUUGGCACCUCGAUGUCGGCUCAUCACAUCCUGGGGCUGAAGUAGGUCCCAAGGGUAUGGCUGUUCGCCAUUUAAAGUGGUACGCGAGCUGGGUUUAGAACGUCGUGAGACAGUUCGGUCCCUAUCUGCCGUGGGCGCUGGAGAAUUGAGGGGGGCUGCUCCUAGUACGAGAGGACCGGAGUGGACGCAUCACUGGUGUUCGGGUUGUCAUGCCAAUGGCACUGCCCGGUAGCUAAAUGCGGAAGAGAUAAGUGCUGAAAGCAUCUAAGCACGAAACUUGCCCCGAGAUGAGUUCUCCCUGAGACUUUAAGUCUCCUGAAGGAACGUU